GUAGAUGACGCUAGCGGCAGGCCUAAUACAUGCAAGUCGGACGGGAUUGGAGAGCUUGCUUUCCAUGAGAGUGGCGCACGGGUGCGUAACACGUAUGUAACCUACCCAUAUCAGGGGGAUAGCCUCUCGAAAGAGAGAUUAAGCCCGCAUAAAAUCACAGCAUAGCAUUAUGUAAUGAUCAAAUAUUUAUAGGAUAUGGAUGGGCAUGCGGAACAUUAGCUAGUUGGUAAGGUAACGGCUUACCAAGGCUACGAUGUUUAGGGGAUCUGAGAGGAUGACCCCCCACACUGGUACUGAGACACGGACCAGACUCCUACGGGAGGCAGCAGUAAGGAAUAUUGGUCAAUGGGCGCAAGCCUGAACCAGCCAUGCCGCGUGCAGGAAGACGGCCCUAUGGGUUGUAAACUGCUUUUGCAGGGGAAUAAACCUACCAACGUGUUGGUAGCUGAAUGUACUCUGAGAAUAAGGAUCGGCUAACUCCGUGCCAGCAGCCGCGGUAAUACGGAGGAUCCAAGCGUUAUCCGGAUUUAUUGGGUUUAAAGGGUGCGUAGGCGGCCUAUUAAGUCAGGGGUGAAAGACGGUAGCUUAACUAUCGCAGUGCCUUUGAUACUGAUGGGCUUGAAUAUACUUGAGGUAGGCGGAAUGUGACAAGUAGCGGUGAAAUGCAUAGAUAUGUCACAGAACACCAAUUGCGAAGGCAGCUUACUAAAGUAUGAUUGACGCUGAGGCACGAAAGCGUGGGGAUCAAACAGGAUUAGAUACCCUGGUAGUCCACGCCCUAAACGAUGAAUACUCGAUGUUGGCGAUAUACAGUCAGCGUCAAAGCGAAAGCGUUAAGUAUCCACCUG
rnacentral:rRNA from 1 species